UACGUAGGGGGCAAGCGUUAUCCGGAUUCACUGGGUGUAAAGGGAGCGCAGGCGGUACGGCGAGUCUGAUGUGAAAACCCGGGGCCCAACCCCGGGACCGCACCGGAUACUGCCGGACUCGAGUGCCGGAGGGGCAGGCGGAAUUCCUGGUGUAGCGGUGAAAUGCGUAGAUAUAUGGAGGAACACCGGUGGCGAAAGCGGCUCUCUGGCCUGUAACUGACACUGAGGCUCGAAAGCGUGGGGAGCAAACAGG
rnacentral:rRNA from 1 species